ensembl:snRNA U6 U6 spliceosomal RNA
GUGCUCACUUCAGCAGCACAAAUAAUAAACUUGGAAUGAUUCAGAGAAGAUUAGCAUGGCCAUGAGCAAGGAUAAGAUGCAAAUUCGUUAAGCAUAACACAUUAAG